rnacentral:lncRNA from 1 species
UAAAGAACAAGAUGGAAUUAAAGACACUAGAAGGUUGAUCACAGCUGCGAAUGCAUUCAAGGUACUGGGCAGUAGCUGCAGUGCGGAGCCACUACAGGAAGAGGUGACAACCUUCUGACGCCCUUCGGAGCCCCGAAAUCGCGGCCUCUCGCCUCUGACCACUGAGCCUGUUCUCUACAGGCUUUGAAGACCUGUUUCCAGCACGGAGAGCAUCUUCCUUUGAUAUCAAAACCAAAAGCCUCGACCUAACUUUGGCUAUAUGUCCUCCUAUCUGAGAAAGCAGAGCCAUUUAAAAGCGUGGACUUGAGUCCAUAAUGCGAACACGUGAAAGCUGGAGACAUGGAGGGUCAGGAGUUCAAGGUCCUGAGUUCAAUUCCCAGCAACCACAUAGUGGCUCACAACCAUCUGUAAUGAGAUCUGAUGCCCUCUUCUGCUGUGUCUGAAGACAUCACAUACAUAAAAUAAAUAAACCUUAAAA